rfam:Parcubacteria bacterium GW2011_GWA2_53_21 TY79_C0009, whole genome shotgun sequence.
GCCGCGGUAGCUCAUUGGUAGAGCGCUGCCCUGAAGAGGCAGGCGUAGACAGUUCGAUUCUGUCCCGCGGCA